AUUGUGCAGAUUGUAUUGAUUUGGUUAUGUUGGAUUAUCUAAAGUCAUGUUCCGAGUCGAUAUCACGGUGAAAACAUUGAAAAUUUGAGGUUUCUAGAUGUUGGGUAUCAAAAUUUAAAGUUUCAAUACCUGAACUAUUGAGCACCUCAACAGUUCUUCAGAAGUAUCUCAAGACCUGAAAGCUGAAAAACUAUUUUUUAUACUAAGUACCGGUACACAAUUUGGAGUAUUAGUACGCAAUAUUCUGUCUUUAUAUUGAGUACCGGUAGGCGACUUUGAAUACGAAUAAAUAGUUUCACGACGGGUUGAAUAUAUAGAGUUUGACUCUAAGGGCAUGUUUGUUUUACAGAAACUGGACUUUGGGUUGAAGUGAAUUUUGGAUUGAAGUGGGGUUCGGUGAAAACUAUUUCUUCCCCGCUGUUUGUUUCAUAGUUAUGAAAGUGAAGUUCCAUUAGUUCUGCUGUUUGUUUGGUAGAAAGUGUAUGAUGUAAAAGUAUAAUUUAUAUACAAAUAAUAAAUAUUUUAAUAAAUAAAAAUAAUAUAAGUAUAUUUUUAUAUAAUUAAAAUUUAAUUUAAAAAAACUAAAUAAUUUUUUUAUACAUAAAUUAUAGUAAUACAAUAAUAAAAUUAUAAAGUAAAAAAAAAUUAAUACUUAAUUAAUCAACUUUUAUCAUAUUUUAAAUGUACAAACUAAAUAAAGAAAAUAUUAGAACUUAACUAAUCAAUUUUUAUCAUAUUUUAGAUAUACUAAAUGAAUAAAAAAAAUUAUUAGUAACAUAAUUAAGUAUAUUUAAAUAUAACUAUCUUUAUCUAUUAUAUUAUUUUAUUAUUUUUUCUUCACCUCUCUUCACCGUAAUUGAUUUCGACCCACGAUGGGGUAAAGUAAUUUACGCCGUUUGAGGUUAACUCGAGUUUCGACCGUAACUUUUUAACGGUGAACCAAACAACGAAAGUGGCUGUUUAGGACGAAAACGGCUUCCCUCCUCUCCACUUCCACCCCACUUCCAUCCAAACAAACAUGCCUUAAUUGGAUCUAAUCUUGUUCCAGAAAAUUAGGGUUGUUCCAUAAUUACUUUUAAGGGAAUUCUUAAAAGGAUAUCGAUGGUUAGACGUGAAUCGGAGACUCGGAUGGAAGGCGAAAAUAAUUUCCUACUAGAAUUGGAAUUUUAGAGUUAUAAAAACUUUUGUAAUUAAUCUUUAGAAUUUGGAGUCUCAUUGUUGGAAGUUUCUAGUAUGAGCUUCAUCGUAGAUACCCUAAUUCAGAGAAAAACAUAGAGAGCUACUGAGAGAGAGAGAGUUUCUUGUAAUCUAAUUUACUUUUUUGUACUUUUGUAUCGUAAAUUAAUCGGAGAAAAUAUUAAGGUGAUCUUAUCCGUGGACAUAGGUCGACUCAUGGUUGACCAAAUCACUUAAAUCUUGUAUUCUUGUGAUAUCUUGUUUUCUUUAUUGCUUUGUUAUUCUUGUCUUUAUUUUUUCUACAAUCAUUCUCAUCUCUUACGUCUAUGAAAGAUCCUAUUUUUUUUGUGCUCGU
rnacentral:lncRNA from 1 species